rnacentral:rRNA from 1 species
GAUGAACGCUGGCGGCGUGCCUAAUACAUGCCAGUCGAGCGAACAGACGAGGAGCUUGCUCCUCUGACGUUAGCGGCGGACGGGUGAGUAACACGUGGAUAACCUACCUAUAAGACUGGGAUAACUUCGGGAAACCGGAGCUAAUACCGGAUAAUAUAUUGAACCGCAUGGUUCAAUAGUGAAAGACGGUUUUGCUGUCACUUAUAGAUGGAUCCGCGCCGCAUUAGCUAGUUGGUAAGGUAACGGCUUACCAAGGCGACGAGGCGUAGCCGACCUGAGAGGGUGAUCGGCCGCACUGGAACUGAGAUACGGUCCAGACUCCUACGGGAGGCAGCAGUAGGGAAUCGUCCGCAAUGGGCGAAAGCCUGACGGAGCAACGCCGCGUGAGUGAUGAAGGUCUUCGGAUCGUAAAACUCUGUUAUUAGGGAAGAACAAAUGUGUAAGUAACUAUGCACGUCUUGACGGUACCUAAUCAGAAAGCCACGGCUAACUACGUG